UGUUGAUCAGCUCUUACCUCUCUC
rnacentral:miRNA from 1 species